GACACAAUGCACAUUGCACAAGAACCAACGGUUUUUUGCGAAGGACAACGGUAAUUUUUGUGAUUUUAUGCAGGAAAUAUAGGAGCUGUGGUGAUGAGAUUUUCCAACACAAAACAAAAAUACAUAGAAGCAGUAUGGUGAUCAAAUACUGGCUGAAGUCUCCAAAAACUCGGUUUACCAGCAUAGAGGAAUCCAAAAAUGUUCAAACACCAGAUCCUGGAGGAAAAUGUGAAUGCUCCAAAAAUUGAGAUUGAAUUGAGGUGCAGUAACAUAAACCAGUAUGUAGCUCAGAAAAUUGCUACUUUAAACAGGAAGAGAUUAAAGUAUUCUGGAGCACCACAAUAAGGACCUUUCUUAAUAGAUAAAUGACAUGCAUAUUAGUUAUUUUAAUAAACAAACUUCUCACAUUAUUUAUGUCUUAACUAUUCACAUUCCUUAAUUUUUCAUCAAUAUAUCAAUAGACAUAUAUUCACUGAAUCCAAUUCACUUAUAUUAAUUAUAGAUAAUUAAACAGGUAUACUCUCUUGUCUGAUGCCAGUUGCAGCUGAGUUAAAAUAUUAUAAUCCUUGCAAAUGUUAUCUUCAUCCUAAUCUGCUCUCCUAGAUUUAAAAGAGGAUUUUUUCU